rfam:Ictidomys tridecemlineatus contig003534, whole genome shotgun sequence.
GGGGUUGUGGCUCAGUGAUAAAGCACUUACCUAUCAUGUGUGAGGCACUGAGUUCCAUCCUCAGUACCCCCA